UUCAGAACGUCGUGAGACAGUUCGGUCCCUAUCCGUCGCGGGCGUAGGAAAUUUGAGAGGACCUGUCCUUAGUACGAGAGGACCGGGAUGGACAUACCUCUGGUGUACCAGUUGUGCCGCCAGGCGCAUCGCUGGGUAGCUACGUAUGGAUGUGAUAAACGCUGAAAGCAUCUAAGUGUGAAACACACCUCGAGAUGAGAUUUCCCAUUCCUUUAUGGAAGUAAGACCCCUGAAAGAUGAUCAGGUAGAUAGGUUAGAAGUGGCAGUGCGGUGACGCAUGAAGCGGACUAAUACUAAUCGGUCGAGGACUUAACCAAG
rnacentral:rRNA from 2 species